rnacentral:rRNA from 1 species
UCCGGGUAAUCUUGUUAAACUCCGUCGUGCUGGGGAUAGAGCAUUGCAAUUAUUGCUCUUCAACGAGGAAUCCCUAGUAAGCGCAAGUCAUCAGCUUGCGUUGAUUACGUCCCUGCCCUUUGUACACACCGCCCGUCGCUACUACCGAUUGAAUGGCUCAGUGAGGCGUCCGGACUGGCCCAGAGAGGUGGGAAACUACCACUCAGGGCCGGAAAGCUCUCCAAACUCGGUCAUUUAGAGGAAGUAAAAGUCGUAACAAGGUCUCCGUUGGUGAACCAGCGGAGGGAUCAUU